rnacentral:tRNA from 1 species
UGUAGCAAAACAGUGCAAUAAAUUUAAGCUUUAUAUAUAAAGAAACCCUUUCUUUAGAA